GUAUUGAUGCAUACUGUGCUUGGUAUUCCCUGUAAAAAUCCUGCCUUUGUUUUUCCAUAUGGCUUUGGCAUGUUAACAUCAUUGCACUAGAAUUGUUAGCCUGCAGCUAUGGGCAUUAGCAUAGCAGGAAAAUCCUGUCCAUGCAGGCCGGCUGCCAGUUGCCCGCAGACGCAUCUGUGUUCCAGGCAACUAGCGAUGUCUCCGAUGAAAUCUCUUUUGGAGAUGAAUCGUCUUAGAUAGGUGGUUGCUUGAGCGAAAAGUUGUUAGGAAAGUAGUACAAACUUUAGGAAAUGUAUUGUUGUUAAGGGCUUCAGGACAUUUGUACAGUAUGUGCUUUUGACAUAUGGACUUUUAGAUGCAUCGUGACUGGGAAAGAAAAGGUUCCUAUCAUCCUUACCCAUCUGUUGCCUCAGGAAACAGUCUCAUUUCUCUUUUUUUCUCAGCCGGAUUUGUGUGCAGACACAACGGAAAAAUACUGAGGCAAUGAAGUGUGUUUUCAGCAGGGCGCGCCAUCACUCAGACCAAUAAACACAAGCACCUGGGGGAUUGCAUCUAUCAAAACCUGAGAGGAGAAGAUGUUGACCGAGUUAAGACCUCUGACCGACAGAAGCAUCCGUGAGGCAACAUGCACACAUCCCACUGACUCUUUACAAGGAGAAAAGUGGAACUACAGCACAAAGAAUCGGGAGGUUUUGAAAAGGGACAAAAAUGUUGGAGAGGAAGUCAAAGAAAUGGAGAAAUGACGAGAGCCUUGGACGAACAAAAGCAAUUAGGAUGAUGGUGGGGGAGCCGUAGUGGCUCAACACUGAGAGAUGGAGAAACAUAUCAAUGAGCUGGCGGCCUUGACUGAGAUGAAAGACCCCCAGAGUGAAGGAGAGGCCCCCAAACAACAGGACUGGAGUGUGUGUACGGGGGGUGUUUCUGUAUCCCACAUUGGCUGUAAACCUCUUAUGAUUAUCCCCCUCCCCCUGAAAUUGUAUAGCUGGGAUGGCAUCCAUCACGUUGCUAUGGCAACAUAGAGUGGCCUGAUGAGGGGAUUGAAACAGCAUUUGAGAGUCACAGAGCAGACUGACAGAUCUGAGACAGACAGAUAUCUUAUUUUUUUGAUUUGCACAAAUAAAUAUGACUAGAAGACUCUAUUAAGAGUCAAUUUCCUAGCUUUGUUUUAUAUGUGGUUCAUUUUUUAAUGAAUUGAUUCAUUCAUAAUGGUUUAUUUCUGAACUGAAUGUGUAGAUGAUCUGUGUGCUGAAAUGCAUGUUAGCGGACAGCUGUGAGCGAGAUGCUUCUGGUCUCCCAGAGUAAGGUGGACAGUUGACAUGUGACCCCUGUGGGAACAGGGUCAAAGGUCAACAGGGUCACAGAGGGUCAAGCUACAAGUAAUUAUCUGACCAAGCUAAAGCACUACACUGAUUACAAUGACAGAUUCACUAUCUAUCUCUCUAUCUAUUCAAUUCAAG
ensembl:lncRNA